rnacentral:rRNA from 1 species
CCUACGGGAGGCAGCAGUGGGGAAUAUUGGUCAAUGGGGGUAACCCUGAUCCAGCGACGCCGCGUGAGUGAAGAAGUAUUUCUGUAUGUAAAGCUCUAUCAGCAGGGAAGAAAGAAAUGACGGUACCUGACUAAGAAGCCCCGGCUAACUACGUGCCAUCAGCCGCGGGAAUACGUAGGGGGCAAGCGUUAUCCGGAUUUACUGGGUGUAAAGGGAGCGUAGACGGCGAUGCAAGUCUGAAGUGAAAGGCGGGGGCCCAACCCCCGGACUGCUUUGGAAACUGUAGGGCUGGAGUGCAGGAGAGGUAAGUGGAAUUCGUGGUGUAGCGGUGAAAUGCGUAGAUAUUAGGAGGAACACCAGUGGCGAAGGCGGCUUACUGGACUGUAACUGACGUUGAGGCUCGAAAGCGUGGGGAGCGAACAGGAUUAGAUACCCCAGUAGUC